GAUGAACGCUGGCGGCGUGCCUAAUACAUGCAAGUCGAACGCUUCACUUCGGUGAAGAGUGGCGAACGGGUGAGUAAUACCUAAGUAACCUGGCAUCUACAGGGGGAUAACUGAUGGAAACGUCAGCUAAGACCGCAUAGGUGUAGAGAUCGCAUGAACUCUAUAUGAAAAGUGCUACGGGACUGGUAGAUGAUGGACUUAUGGCGCAUUAGCUUGUUGGUAGGGUAACGGCCUACCAAGGCGACGAUGCGUAGCCGACCUGAGAGGGUGACCGGCCACACUGGGACUGAGACACGGCCCAGACUCCUACGGGAGGCAGCAGUAGGGAAUUUUCGGCAAUGGGGGAAACCCUGACCGAGCAACGCCGCGUGAAGGAAGAAGUAAUUCGUUAUGUAAACUUCUGUCAUAGAGGAAGAACGGUGGAUAUAGGGAAUGAUAUCCAAGUGUCGGUACUCUAUAAGAAAGCCACGGCUAACUACGUG
rnacentral:rRNA from 1 species